rnacentral:tRNA from 1 species
GAGGGUACAGCUCAAGUGGCAGAGUGCAUGCUUAGCAUGCAGGAGGUCCUGGGUUCAAUCCCCAGUACCUCCC